UACAGGGGGUGCAAGCGUUAAUCGGAAUUACUGGGCGUAAAGCGCGCGUAGGUGGUUUGUUAAGUUGGAUGUGAAAGCCCCGGGCUCAACCUGGGAACUGCAUCCAAAACUGGCAAGCUAGAGUACGGUAGAGGGUGGUGGAAUUUCCUGUGUAGCGGUGAAAUGCGUAGAUAUAGGAAGGAACACCAGUGGCGAAGGCGACCACCUGGACUGAUACUGACACUGAGGUGCGAAAGCGUGGGGAGCAAACAGG
rnacentral:rRNA from 1 species